AUGACAGCAAGGGGAGAGACUCGGACGAAAGAUGGGCGUCCGGGCGCCGAAGGAGCAAACUGCGGAGUGAAUCUCUCAGGCAAAAGAACUCUUGCUCGACG
rnacentral:ncRNA from 5 species